rnacentral:rRNA from 1 species
CAGCCGUAAACAAUGUGCGUUAGGUGUGUCGGUAACCACGUGUUACUGAUGCGCCGAAGAGAAAUCGUGAAACGCACCACCUGGGAAGUACGGUCGCAAGGCUGAAACUUAAAGGAAUUGGCGGGGGGAGCACCACAACAGGUGGAGCCUGCGGGUUUAAUUUGGAUUCAACGCCGGACAUCUCACCGGAUAAGACAGCUGAAUGAUUGUCAAUCUGAAGGUUUUACAUGACUAGCUGAGAGGAGGUGCAUGGCGUCAGUGACU